UACGUAGGGUGCGAGCGUUAAUCGGAAUUACUGGGCGUAAAGCGUGCGCAGGCGGUUUUGUAAGCCCGAUGUGAAAGCCCCGGGCUUAACCUGGGAAUGGCAUUGGAAACUGGCGGGCUUGAGUGCGGCAGAGGGGGGUGGAAUUCCGCGUGUAGCAGUGAAAUGCGUAGAGAUGCGGAGGAACACCGAUGGCGAAGGCAGCCCCCUGGGUCGACACUGACGCUCAGGCACGAAAGCGUGGGGAGCAAACAGG
rnacentral:rRNA from 1 species